CCCCAAAAAAAAACGUGUGACAGGUGAAGAAGGUGAAAAAGUGGACGUGUAAACUCUGCGGGGAGAAACAAUCUUUGCUCAAGGAGUUCGGUGGAGGCAGCGCCGCGGACUGCAGACGUCACGUUCAGAAGCUGAACGCCGCCAGGGGCGCCGUGUUGGAAGAGCGAGACGCCCGCUCGCUUCGGCAACAGCCGGAAGAGGAAACGGGAAGUGAAGACCAGCGAGACGGGCACGUGAGAGGACGACCUGCGCAGGCCGGCACGCACGCACAUCAGCAGCCUCUUCAACCCGUGAGCGCGUGCCCGCAGGCGGUCCACGCGCAGGUGAGCCGCUGGCGCCGAUACAUGGCCGCGCCUGAGGAGAAGGACCGAGAUGUCGUUCCAAAGGACAUGCCGCGUUCCCGAGGCAACAGCAUGACGGACAGGUGAUGGGCUUUUUGGGCCACGUCCGCUCCCAAACCAAAUGGGCUUGUCAGACGGCUUCCUAACGCGUUUGUGUGCGCACCUCUCAGGAAGAGGAAGCGUG